rfam:Schistosoma curassoni strain Dakar, Senegal genome assembly, scaffold: SCTD_contig0006541
AUCUAGCUGAUGAGUCCCGAAUAGGACGAAGCCCGUGUCUUGGAU